rnacentral:misc_RNA from 1 species
GGAUGAUUGUACAGAGCUCCGAAUGCAUAUGGAACAACUAGCCGAUGAUGCUGAGAAUGUAUAUGCUUGUAUAAGAACUUGUUUUGAUGCAUGUAGCGAUGCAUAAAGUAUUGCCAAGUAUCUAAGAUGACCAUGGCAAGAAACAACUGUCUAACAAGAACAAGGAAGCCAUGUUGAUUUCCAUCAGAGUCGCCAUCAUUACCUGUGACCGCGAAGAGAAC